rnacentral:lncRNA from 1 species
UGGGACCAUCGCUGCAGCGAGAUGCAGAUUUUCGUAAAAACCCUUACAGAGAAGACUAUUACAAUGGAGGUUGAACCCUCGGAUACUAUAGAAAAUGUAAAGGCCAAGAUCCAGGAUAAGGAAGGAAUUCCUCCUGAUCAUCAAAGACUGAUGUUUGCUGAUAAGCAACUGGAAGAUGGACGUACUGUGUCUGACUACAACAUUCAGAAGGAGUCCACCCUUCAUCAGGUGCUGAGGCUUCGUGGUGGUGCAAAAAAAAAGGAAGACGAAGUCUUACACCACUCCCAAGAAGAAUAAGCAUAAGAGAAAGAAGGUUAAGUUGGCUGUCCUGAAAUAUUACAAGGUGGAUGAAAAUGGCAAAAUUAGCAGCCUUCGCUGUGAGUGCCCUUCAGAUGAAUGUGGUGCUGGAGUUUUUAUGACCAGCCACUUUGACAGACACCAUUGUGGCAAGUGUUGUCUGACUUACUGCUUCAACAAACCAGAAGACAAGUAAUUUGUAUGAGAUAAUAAAAGACAUGAACUAAUAAAAAAAAAAAAAGAAUUGUAAUGCAAAAAAAAAAAC